AUCCAUCAUGAAAAAUAUUGUACAAAAUCAACAAUAUUUAAUAUCCAUCAUGAAAAUCAAGUCAUCAAAAUAUCAAAAUAAACAAAUCUCAAUGCAUGAGUCUACGAGAACAAGUCUUCCCCAAUCCAAAUUACAUUUCCUACGAAUAAAAGUCAUCAUCCAUGGCACAGCUACUUUCAACAUCAUCGACAUCCUAAAAAAAUGAAGAAAAAAAUAUUUAGAGCAAAACAAAAUGAUCUCAAUAAUAGAAGUUUAAAACAUAUGUAAAUUAAUAACCAUAUCAAUAAUAUCAAUUUGUUCUUCUCCAUCUUCAUCAUAAUCUUCAUUAACUGUGGAACAAGCACUUGUGUCAUCCAAUUCAC
rnacentral:lncRNA from 1 species